rnacentral:rRNA from 1 species
GACGAACGCUGGCGGCGUGCUUAACACAUGCAAGUCGAACGGAAAGGCCCUGCUUUUGUGGGGUGCUCGAGUGGCGAACGGGUGAGUAACACGUGAGUAACCUGCCCUUGACUUUGGGAUAACUUCAGGAAACUGGGGCUAAUACCGGAUAGGAGCUCCUGCUGCAUGGUGGGGGUUGGAAAGUUUCGGCGGUUGGGGAUGGACUCGCGGCUUAUCAGCUUGUUGGUGGGGUAGUGGCUUACCAAGGCUUUGACGGGUAGCCGGCCUGAGAGGGUGACCGGCCACAUUGGGACAGAGAUACGGCCCAGACUCCUACGGGAGGCAGCAGUGGGGAAUAUUGCACAAUGGGCGGAAGCCUGAUGCAGCAACGCCGCGUGCGGGAUGACGGCCUUCGGGUUGUAAACCGCUUUCGCCUGUGACGAAGCGUGAGUGACGGUAAUGGGUAAAGAGGCACCGGCUAACUACGUG